UUCGAGCGUCAUUUCAACCCAUCAAGCUCACGCUUGGUAUUGGGGCCUGCGGUUUCGCAGCCUCUAAACUCAGUGGCGGUGCUAUUGAGCUCUGAGCGUAGUAAUUUUUCUCGCUAUAGGGUCUCGGUAGUUACUUGCCAGUAACCCCCAAUUUUUAUCAGGUUGACCUCGGAUCAGGUAGGGAUACCCGCUGAACUUAA
rnacentral:misc_RNA from 1 species